ACUCAAAGGAAUUGACGGGGGCCCGCACAAGCGGUGGAUGAUGUGGAUUAAUUCGAUGCAACGCGAAAAACCUUACCUACCCUUGACAUGCCCGGAAGCAGGUAGAGAUAUCUGGGUGCCCGAAAGGGAACCGGGACACAGGUGCUGCAUGGCUGUCGUCAGCUCGUGUCGUGAGAUGUUGGGUUAAGUCCCGCAACGAGCGCAACCCUUGCCAUUAGUUGCUACAUUCAGUUGGGCACUCUAAUGGGACUGCCGGUGACAAACCGGAGGAAGGUGGGGAUGACGUCAAGUCCUCAUGGCCCUUAUGGGUAGGGCUUCACACGUCAUACAAUGGCGCAUACAGAGGGUUGCCAACCCGCGAGGGGGAGCCAAUCCCAGAAAGUGCGUCGUAGUCCGGAUUGCAGUCUGCAACUCGACUGCAUGAAGUCGGAAUCGCUAGUAAUCGCGGAUCAGCAUGUCGCGGUGAAUACGUUCCCGGGCCUUGUACACACCGCCCGU
rnacentral:rRNA from 1 species